ACCUUCGGGCCUCUUGCCAUCGGAUGUGCCCAGAUGGGAUUAGCUAGUAGGUGGGGUAACGGCUCACCUAGGCGACGAUCCCUAGCUGGUCUGAGAGGAUGACCAGCCACACUGGAACUGAGACACGGUCCAGACUCCUACGGGAGGCAGCAGUGGGGAAUAUUGCACAAUGGGCGCAAGCCUGAUGCAGCCAUGCCGCGUGUAUGAAGAAGGCCUUCGGGUUGUAAAGUACUUUCAGCGGGGAGGAAGGGAGUAAAGUUAAUACCUUUGCUCAUU
rnacentral:rRNA from 1 species